rnacentral:rRNA from 1 species
GACGAACGCUGUCGGCGUGCCUAAUACAUGCAAGUCGAACGCAGUGGGGACGGGUGAGUAACACGUGGGUAACCUCCCAUCAGAGGGGAUAACACUUGGAAACAGGUGCUAAACCGAUACUGAUGGAUGGGCCAGCGGUGCAUUAGCUAGUUGGUGAGGUAACGGCUCACCAAGUCCACGAUGCAUAGACGACCUGGGAGGGUGAUAGGCAACAUUGUGACUGAGACACGGCCCAGAAUCCUACGGGAGGCAGCAGUAGGGAAUCUGCGGCAAUGGACGAAAGUCUGACCGAGCAACGCCGCGUGAGUGAAGAAGGUUUUCGGAUCGUAAACCUCUGGUGUUAGAGAAGCGGUAUCUAACCAGAAAGCCACGGCUAACUACGUGCCAGCAGCCGCGGUAAUAC